UACGAAGGGCGCAAGCGUUAAUCGGAAUUACUGGGCGUAAAGCGCGCGUAGGUGGUUCAGUAAGUUGGAAGUGAAAUCCCCGGGCUCAACCUGGGAACUGCUUUCAAAACUGCUGAGCUAGAGUACGGUAGAGGGUGGUGGAAUUUCCUGUGUAGCGGUGAAAUGCGUAGAUAUAGGAAGGAACACCAGUGGCGAAGGCGACCACCUGGACUGAUACUGACACUGAGGUGCGAAAGCGUGGGGAGCAAACAGG
rnacentral:rRNA from 1 species